UACGUAGGUGGCAAGCGUUUGUCCGGAUUUACUGGGCGUAAAGAGCGCGCAGGCGGUCGUUCAAGUCGCGUGUGAAAGCCCCCGGCUCAACUGGGGAGGGUCACGCGAUACUGAUCGACUCGAAGGCAGGAGAGGGAAGUGGAAUUCCCGGUGUAGUGGUGAAAUGCGUAGAUAUCGGGAGGAACACCAGUGGCGAAGGCGACUUCCUGGCCUGUUCUUGACGCUGAGGCGCGAAAGCUAGGGGAGCAAACGGG
rnacentral:rRNA from 1 species